UGUGUGAAUUGGCGUUGUAAAUAAAUGAAGGAAUAAAUAAAUAAAUAAAUGAAGGAUGGAGAAUCCGAGCAAGGAAAAGGAGAAGAUGAUGCCUCCUUUGCCUCCCCCACGGCGCCAGAUCCGCCCUCCUCCUCCAAGAAACGUACUAUUAGGGUUAUUUUCUUCGAUUUUCCCUUCCCGUGUUUGGUUCUGGUUCCUAUAAACCCUAAUAUAGUAGUUUGGAAUCGGGAAUCUGGUCACUGGUCCAACUCCUCAGCGAGAGGCAGGUAGACAAAAUUUCUUGGCAAUAUACAGGAGAAUAGACGAAACUUUCCAAUGCUGUGUAGAUGGAGAAGCGCAUCCUGACUACUCGGACCUUUCUGAGAUGGUACACGAGAGUUUGCUGCAUGGUGAUGCCAAGGUACUUGCAGUUGGUAUUCAGUUUUUAGUAUUUCGAUUUUUUUCUCUCUAUUAUUGAAGGCUCUCAGUGGAGGGGAUACUUUCAAUGAACUUCUCAAUGAUAUUAUUCACAAAGGUGACGAUGGCGGCAGAAGCUUUACAAAGCCACUCAAAACGUUCAAGGAAGCCCAUGUCCAUGAGGCAGCAUGGAAAGUGCGGAACAUUUGAUCUGUCCAAGGAGUUUUAUAAGUAAAUGUUUGUUAUAUGGAUAAGCUGCGCUCCUUUGCCCUAGUUUUGUUUGGCUUGCUGAGAAAUAUGAAAUUUGCAUAUGCAUAUGGGUGUAAACUGUUCUAUCAAAUCCUCCUCCUUUUUUGAUGCACCACAUCUCCUUGCAUAUUUAAAGGAUGAUGACACCGUGUUUAAUUAUACGUACUUGUGUUGACAUUGGCAAACAAAUGCAGAAAUCAUAAUAAAUUAAACUUUCUUGGUUAAAAUUUUGAAAUGUGGCCAAUAUUAUCUAAAAUUCAUGCAGUAUGAAAACAGUGUUGAAAAGGGCGAAGGAAGUCAGGCCCCAUAAGGAAAACUACAUUCCUCAGAAACAACACAAAAAAGCAAGAAGGGGCUAGCUUCCGAUAGUUUCCAAUGCCUCAUGUUUCUCAGACCAGCUUGACCUUAUGAGAGGGUGAAAAAGAUAUUUAUAGACUGAAAACAAGGAAGAUAGUCAUUAAAGGUUGUUGAUGGUAGUUUGUCUAUGAAGCGCAGUGAGGUUACGGUAAAAUGCAGAGCUUUCUUUGGUGACUAGUUAUGCUGCCAACUCCAAAUUGAUGUGAUAAGUGUUGUCUCCAAUGUUUUACCCCUAGUUGGAACCCUAUAACCACAUUAUUUCAUAUGUUAUAAUCUGAACAUAAUCAAAGCACUUCCUUUAUCUCCUUCACCUUUAGUUUAUGAGCAUCUUGUUGCAUUAAAGUUUGUUUGAAUAUCCCGUGUAUAAAUCAUAUGUAUCCUUUAAAAUGCCACAUCUACCAAGUUGUUAAUCUUCAAUUUAAACUCCUUGGAUCACAUGAGGUGAAUCAGUAUCACUUCUAUUAGGAGGAAGUUAUAGUCGUAUUUAAUCUGUGUCCAUAUUUAAUACAUAUGGAGGUUUGACAACGUUUUCUCUCAGCAUUAUCCUUGGAAUCUAGGGAAAGCCUUGCCAUAUUAUAUGCCCUUUUUGUCAAGAGAUUGUCAUGGGGUUUCACAACAAACCUCGUUGUUUCUCUUUAGUAGCUAGAAACUUCUAUAUGGGGUGAAGCACCUGCUUUUGAAAAUAUCUGGAAUCUGGCUCCUGCACAGACUUCCGAAGUGCUUUUUUACUCAUAAUUUCCUGAGGACCUUGCUUGCUCAUGCACCCUAAUUCUGCUAGCAAAGUUCAUGCCACAUCAACUAAUAGUCUGAUAAUAAAAGUAACAAUAUAAUCAGGAGAAUGUUCAGUACAACAUCAGUCAGAUGAUACUUUAAUAAUGGUGGGCCAGAUCAUUUCUUGCGGGUUGAGAAACUGAUAUAUGCUUCGAAUUCCUCCUAUGAGUACAGCUAUACAAGUGCCCUCUCCAUACUCAAAACGUGGAUCCAAGUUGUGUAGCUAAUAUUAUUCAUACAGUGCCCUCUCCAGGGUCAAAACUGAUAUAUGCUUUGAAUUCCUUAUAUGAAUUCCUAGGGUUGGCUGGACGACCUCUUGGAUGAUGAACGCUAUUGACAAUGUUGUCAGUUGAUCCAAAAGUGACUUCCAUGUUCAGAUUUCAAGCUGGCUGUUAGAAGAUUACAUUGUAUGGAGCCAAAUUUUCAAAAUAAUUGUUGGAGAAAACAAAUCUCAGAAGCAUCCUUACACAUUUUGGCAAGAUGAGAUAGCAGGUUGUCAGUUCGGCUAAUGAUACUAGAGCAGCUUCAUCAUGCAGCUCUACUUUUCUGUCCUGUGGUUGAUAGAAGACCUGAAUCUGAACCGGCUCUUGGGUCGCUUGGUUGCAAUUCAGAGCUUCCAUCCAAGAUUUCCCUUGCUACCUUAUAUCUGCAUCACAGCCUUCCUUGGUUCCUUAGGCUUGGUGAAAAAUGGGAUACAUAAUGCGGCUGGACCACUUUCAGAUAUAAUUACUGGUAUCUUUUGAAUUAACAAUGAAUCUUUUGAAUUUUGAUCAUCCUGCUCAUUUAUAACAUUGGUUGCUGGGUUAUGAUGCAUGGCAUUUGGCUUACAUGGAGUUGUUGGUGUUCUGCACUUUGUUGUUGAUCCACCUGAUCCAGCCCAAAUGAACGGUAGAGCACCAUGGAAAUAUGAGAUCAUUUUAUUUUCCCUUGAUUAUCUCUGAAGAGUAGCGUCUGUUACAUUAUCUAGUACGGUAAGUAGAAAGUUCUGUGGUAGGUGUUUCUCACCUGUAUGACUAGGGAUUUUUGUCACACUAUGAAAGUGUUUCUCAUUACUCUUGUCGUGGGUAUCUUUUGUCUUGAUUCAUGGCCUCUCUAUCAAGUAAUUCAUGGCCUGAGCAGGCUCAGUCUACUUGAAGUAGUCUUCCAGCACCUGGUUUCUGGAUGGUCUUCUUGGUUUGGGUGGACCUCAAGGGGUCACAGACCGGUGGUGCAGUGAAGGUGGAUCAAGCUAGUAAACUUAAUAGUAGCUAUUUGAGAUUUUUUAUCUUUGAAUUUUUUUGCAUCCAGAUUGGGGAGACUGAGCUUGCUCCGUUUAUUUGAUUUUUCUUUAAGAUGCUUAGUAAAUGUUUUAUUUUAACUCUGAAAAAAAAUCUAUCUUAAGUAAUGCUGUAUUUUUUUUGAAAAAGAUUCUUACAGAAGUAAUGCUGUAUUUUUU